GAUGAACGCUGGCGGCGUGCCUAAUACAUGCAAGUCGAGCGAACAGACGAGGAGCUUGCUCCUCUGACGUUAGCGGCGGACGGGUGAGUAACACGUGGAUAACCUACCUAUAAGACUGGGAUAACUUCGGGAAACCGGAGCUAAUACCGGAUAAUAUAUUGAACCGCAUGGUUCAAUAGUGAAAGACGGUUUUGCUGUCACUUAUAGAUGGAUCCGCGCCGCAUUAGCUAGUUGGUAAGGUAACGGCUUACCAAGGCAACGAUGCGUAGCCGACCUGAGAGGGGGGUCGGCCACCCCUGAACCUAGACACCGUCCAGACUCCUACGGGAGGCAGCAGUAGGGAAUCUUCCCCAAUUGGCGAAAGCCUGACGGAGCAACGCCGCGGUAGUGAUGAAGGUCCUCGGAUCGUAAAACUCUUUUAUUAGGGAAGAACAAAUGUGUAAGUAACUAUGCACGUCUUGACGGUACCUAAUCAGAAAGCCACGGCUAACUACGUG
rnacentral:rRNA from 1 species